GGUUUAUGACAAUUUUACUACUUAUUGGGUUUUUUAUACCCACACUGGGUAAUUUGAUAGAAACAUGCUGGGUUAUAUGUUUACCCAAUUAUUGGUGUGUGGUCGUUUGACCAUAUACUGGGUUAUGCUAACCAUUGAUGAGUUAUUAUACCCAAUCACUGGGUUUAUCAUAACAUUUGAAAUCAGAGCCAGCCAACGGACUUUUUCCUGGAAGUCAACUGAACUGGGGAAAACCUUCAACAACAAGGAAAGGUUAACCAGAGAUCGCACUGGCGUCCGGAUCCUUUGUAAGCUGAUCACGUUAUGUCCGUCUGUGCUAAGACUGGAAGUGACUGAAAGACAACACAGAUGCAUUCUUUCAGCAAGGUGACCAAAAUCUGUUUCACUCUGCAGCACUUGUCCUGGAGGUUUUGUAGACAGAACUGGAAGUGACUGAAAGAAAACGGAGACUUAUUCUUUCAGCAAGGUGACCAAAAUCUGUUUCGCUCUGCAGCACUUGUCCCGGAGGCUUUGUAGACAGAGUGACUGAACGAAAACCUAAAUGAGAAAUGCUGUGUACCUCAUCUUGAACUCUUUCACAUGGUGAUUCCUACACAUAAUUGCACACUGUAUGUGUUUAGCUAUCCUAUCUUACAAAGACUUAUUGCCAAUACUGUAUCUGCCUUUCCUCAAUACAAUGUAAAAAGUGCUGCAUAGACCAUUUAGAGAAGCAAUGUCUCAUGACUUUUGCUGUAUGUUUAUUUUUGAUCAAGUUUCAUUUGUUUUGUAAAAUAUCUUUGCAGAUUUUCUUUUCGUGCCUGGACACUUUUUUCCUUUCAAAUAUUGCUUUGAAUUGAUGCAAAUUGAAGAACGUGAAUCCCUGGUAAUAAAGGAAGGUUGACCAGAAAAUAA